UGGGGCAUAGCCAAGUGGUAAGGCAACGGGUUUUGGUCCCGUUAAUCGUAGGUUCGAAUCCUUCUUCCCCAA
rnacentral:tRNA from 1 species